rnacentral:misc_RNA from 1 species
GAUGAAGAACGCAGCGAAAUGCGAUAAGUAAUGUGAAUUGCAGAAUUCAGUGAAUCAUCGAGUCUUUGAACGCACAUUGCGCCCCCUGGUAUUCCGGGGGGCAUGCCUGUCCGAGCAUCAUUGCUGCCCUCAAGCACGGCUUGUGUGUUGGGCCCCCGCCCCCCGGCUUCGGGGGGCGGGCCCGAAAGGCAGCGGCGGCACCGCGUCCGGUCCUCGAGCGUAUGGGGCUUCGUCACCCGCUCUGUAGGCCCGGCCGGCGCCCGCCGGCGACCCCAAUCAAUCUUUCCAGGUUGACCUCGGAUCAGGUAGGGAUACCCGCUGAACUUAAGCAUAUCAAUAAGCGGAGGA